CCUUCGGGACAGAGGAGACAGGUGGUGCAUGGUUGUCGUCAGCUCGUGUCGUGAGAUGUUGGGUUAAGUCCCGUAACGAGCGCAACCCCUAUCCCUAGUUGCUAGCAGUUCGGCUGAGAACUCUAGGGAGACUGCCGGUGACAAACCGGAGGAAGGUGGGGAUGACGUCAGGUCAUCAUGGCCCUUACGGCCAGGGCUACACACGUGCUACAAUGGCGCAUACAGAGUGUUGCGAGCUGGUAACAGUAAGCCAAUCACAAAAAGUGCGUCUCAGUUCGGAUUGAGGUCUGCAACUCGACCUCAUGAAGCUGGAAUCGCUAGUAAUCGCGUAUCAGCAAUGACGCGGUGAAUACGUUCCCGGACCUUGUACACACCGCCCGUCAAGCGAUGGAAGUUGGGAGGACCUGAAG
rnacentral:rRNA from 1 species